UAUAUAAAUAAUUCUGAAACCCUAAGCCGAUCAAAAAUUCUUCGUUGUUGAUAUGGGAGGAGGUGGUGAUGCGUUAGCGUUAAAAAAGCGGACGUUAGUUUGGUGGGACAUGAACUCGUGUCCGGUUCCGGACGGGGUUGAGCCUGGUCGUGUCCGUGCGUGUAUAGAAUCUGCGUUGGAGAAGGAGAUGGGUCGUCGUUCUCAAGUCACCAUCUUUGCGAUUGGCAACCUAGAAUACAUCUCUAGUGCAUGGCGCUAGAAUCUGCGUUGGAGAAGGCCAUCACGAUUCGAUCGACACUUAGCACUAACCUUGGAGUUCUCUACACUCAAGGUUCUCUCCGACAGUUUAACGUUCGCAAGAGCUAUCUCCGGCAACAUCCAGUCAAAAAAAAUCAUCGGAAUUGUGAAAGGCAUCCGAGCGAUCUCCUCUGGUUUUGCAACAAUUUCUUUCUAUCAUGUUUCUAAAUCGGACAACUUUGUUGCCGAUAGUUUAGCAAAAAGGCUCUCCAAACCUUUUUCUCUUUAUAACGAACAUCAUGAUUUGGGCCAUCGUUUUGGACUCAUCUCUUCUUUUUAGUUUUCUAAUGAAUUAUUCAGUGACAAAAAAAAAAAAAAAAACAUCUCUAGUGCCCUCUUGGAAGAGAUCUAUUCCUCUGGAAUCUUUCUUAUUCACGCCCCCUGCGGUGGGAGCAGCUUUGGAUGUCUUCUUUGCGAGUGGUAUGAGCCGGGGGCCACCGUCAUGCUGAUAUCCUGUGAUUAUUCAAUGGUUAAUAAUCCUUUACUUUUUGGGAUUACUGGCUCCUCUGCUUUUUGUGCAUAUCCAGAAGAUUAUCGGGCACCUAUCUUUGAUUACAAUGUGUUUGCCAAAGAGUUUGUCUGGGAAACUUUAUUGAAAGACAACAUGACUACAUGUGGUGAGAUGAUGAUGAUCGUGAACAACCUCCUCCUCUCUGCAUUUGCGACAUAUGCCUGGAGACUUUCCAAAUAUGUGGCGAAUUCAUCACUCAUCUCAAGAGUGAAGAACACAUAGAGGAGUUGUUUGGAAUUGUCCCCAGAGACCCCGACUCAGUCGCUGAGGCUAGAUAUUUUUGCCAAGUUUGCAAAUAUCCCGCCUACAACGAUUAUAACUUGUUCCUCCAUAACGAAAGUGAAGAACAUAAUCGCAAGAAGAAUCUGGCUGAGAAAAUGGCUCAAGAUGAGGAUUGCGAGAGCAGGAAGAGAAAUCCACAAAUGGAUCUCUUUUACGAGAGAAACAAGAAGAGGUAGUAUAUUGAUAAAUAUGUAAUGUAUACAACAAACCAAAUCUAUACAUAUUUUAUGAUAUAAUUAUUUAUUACAGUCCUUUGUUCUACCCCUAAAAUAUUUGUUUGUUUUCGUUUAAUUAAUACUUUUAUCGAUUAAAAUGAAAAUCUCAAUCCUGUUGCUUUAUGCAAACCACAUUCCCUCUUUGAAAAUUAUGUGAGUGUGAGAGAGAAGCCUUUACUUUAUCUCUUUAGGAAACUGUAGGGGAAGGAAACCAAGAAACUAUUAUUGCGUCUCUCCCUGGGAGACAAGAACACUGAAAACUAAAGCAAGAAACCGCUUAUCAGUUAUAGAUAGUUUAAAUGGUGAAGUUUACUAUGAAGAAAAUCAAAUAGUGGACAACAUAGCCAAAUGAGAUUGGCCUAAUGACUGCUUCCUCAAAGACCUAAUUGAGUAUAAGAGAUACAUCAACCGUAAUUGAGCAUCUUCUUCCUCAAAGACGACUAAUGACUGCUUCAACUUCCUGUGGAGUGUAGAUAUGGUACGCUGGAGCUACCUUGGCAAUGUCCACAUUGUUUGGAGUCACCUACACAGACCACAACAGUUAGAUGGGACCCAAAACUUUGGUAAACUGUAAAAAAGUCUUGGAUUUGAGAGUUUCUCUUUCAUAACUUGCUCGAGGAUAGAUACAGCGAUUGUCUCGCUUCUGCAAGGGAAGAUAAUUGUGAAAUCAAAACAAACAUGCUAAUCUCUAACUAUCAUAAUUUAUGUUUUAUUUGAUUAUUAAAAGAAAAAUAAAAAAGUAGUAAUAUCAUAAUAUUAUUAUAUAAAUAUAUUUA